rfam:Mesorhizobium sp. TASWS1009 22, whole genome shotgun sequence.
CGCGCAUUUUGCCCAGGCGGAGCUCGACCGCCGGUUCGAGCGAUGAUCGCGUUCAUUGACGAUCACCGCGAGGCGCAUGGGGUCGAGCCGAUCUGCAAGGUGUUGCAAAUCGCUCCG